AACUCCACACAGGACACAUCGAAAAAAGUCGGAACUCGAAUUUAAAAAUAUAAAAUAAAAACCACAUACUAAUAACAUACACAAAAGAAGAUCGAUCGCAAAAAUGGCACCCAAGAAGGUUCAAAGUAAAAUUGCAACUAAGAAGAACAAAGGUGUUAAGAACGGCAGGGUGGAAAAAAGAUCAAAGAUUUUACUUUGCAAUGAAGAAUGGAUUGUGCCGAAAGACUAUUUAUUAAGGAAAAGAAUGGAGGACCUCAACGACCUAAUGGAGUCCCACAACAUUAAGGAUGCCUUUUACGACAAUCUGAGGGAAUAAUUGAUGGAGCUUUACGGCCCAUACCUCGAGCAGGAUGCUCGCAACUAUGUUAACAUGUCGUUAUCACAUUAAUCGCAAGAAGUAGAUGCAUUUGUUAAAUAUUUUCAAGAAAAAUUGCAUGUUUUAAAAUAGGGGACAAACAAUUUGAUAGAAAUUGGCAACAAGAACUGCAGUACACUGGAAGGGAUUUAAUCAAGAAAACCAGAGAGAAACCAAUUUGUCACAGUUCAACUAAAUUUUCGGUGAAGCUGAUCAUAAUUCAAGAUAUUGCAAAAUAGUUUUGGGGUAUAUUCUAUUUCAAGUAUGCUCCAACUGGGCUUGCUGCUAAGCAGAAAUUCUUUAAAUCCCCGUCUAAGGGACAAUUUGGCAACAAUCAACCUCCUAAGCUGUGGACGAGGAGCUUGAGCUUUAAUUCUUCUGUUUAUUUAUUGAGAUUUUAAGGUUUAAAUGAGGCAUUUAUUUAAACAAUUGGUAUACGUUUCCCCCGUCGCUCUUCUUAAAGGCACAGCAAGCAUUAAACAGAAAGAUGUUUAAGUGGCAGUCGAGGAACGAAAAUGUGCCCCAUUUGAAGCAUCUACUGGACUAAUUUUGGACUACUUGGAUUUAAAAUUGAAAAUAUUAACCAAAAACAAAGCAUUAAACAGCCAUUAAAUAAAGUACAACUCCACACUAUCGGCAGCCUAUAUAUUAAACAUA